rnacentral:rRNA from 1 species
AUUGAACGCUGGCGGCAUGCCUUACACAUGCAAGUCGAACGGUAACAGGUCUUCGGAUGCUGACGAGUGUCGAACGGGUGAGUAAUACAUCGGCACGUGCCCGCUCCUGGGGGGUAACGAGGCGAAACCUUUGCUAAUACCGCAUACGAUCUACUGAUUAAAGCGGCGGAUCUCCGGACCUCGCGCGGACGUAGCGGCCGAUGACAGAUUAGGUAGUUGGUCGGAUAAAAGCUUACCAAGCCGACGCUGUGUAGCUGAUCUGAGAGGAUGAUCAGCCACACUGGGACUGAGGCACGGCCCAGACUCCUACGGGAGGCAGCAGUGGGGAAUUUUGGACAAUGGGCGAAAGCCUGAUCCAGCCAUGCCGCGUGCAGGAUGAAGGCCUUCGGGUUGUAAACUGCUUUUGUACGGAAAGAAAAGACUCGUACUAAUAAAGAGGGGUCAUGACGGUACCGUAAGAAUAAGCACCGGCUAACUACGUG